rnacentral:rRNA from 1 species
AGUGAACGCUGGCGGUAGGCCUAACACAUGCAAGUCGAACGGCAGCACAGUAAGAGCUUGCUCUUACGGGUGGCGAGUGGCGGACGGGUGAGGAAUACAUCGGAAUCUACUUUUUCGUGGGGGAUAACGUAGGGAAACUUACGCUAAUACCGCAUACGACCUACGGGUGAAAGCAGGGGAUCUUCGGACCUUGCGCGAUUGAAUGAGCCGAUGUCGGAUUAGCUAGUUGGCGGGGUAAAGGCCCACCAAGGCGACGAUCCGUAGCUGGUCUGAGAGGAUGUUCGGCCACACUGGAACUGAGACACGGUCCAGACUCCUACGGGAGGCGGCAGUGGGGAAUAUUGGACAAUGGCGGAAAGCCUGAUCCAGCCAUCCCGCGUGGGUGAAGAAGGCCUUCGGGUUGUAAAGCCCUUUUGUUGGGAAAGAAAAGCAGCAGGUUAAUACCCCGCUGUUCUGACGGUACCCAAAGAAUAAGCACCGGCUAACUUCGUG